GGCUUUGUAGUUAAGUGGUAAAAUACCCGCUUUGGGUGCGGGUGGCCCGGGUUCG
rnacentral:tRNA from 1 species